GCAUUAGUGGUGUAAUGAUUAAGAUGUGGUCUUCCCAUCGUGUUCUCGACUAUCGAUUUAUGGCCGCGUUCGGGGUUCUAUUCCCCGCUAAUGUG